rnacentral:rRNA from 1 species
GUGGGGAAUAUUCCGCAAUGGACGAAAGUCUGACGGAGCAACGCCGCGUGAGUGAUGAAGGUUUUCGGACUGUAAAGCUCUGUUGUUUGGGACGAAAGUGCCUGUUGCGAACAGUUACGGGUAUUGACGGUACUAAACGAGGAAGCCACGGCUAACUACGUGCCAGCAGCCGCGGUAAUACGUAGGUGGCAAGCGUUGUCCGGAAUUAUUGGGCGUAAAGAGCAUGUAGGCGGGAAUCUAAGUCUGUUGUUAAAAUGCGGGGCUCAACCCCGUAUUGCGAUGGAAACUGGGUUUCUUGAGUGCAGGAGAGGAAAGGGGAAUUCCCAGUGUAGCGGUGAAAUGCGUAGAUAUUGGGAGGAACACCAGUGGCGAAGGCGCCUUUCUGGACUGUGUCUGACGCUGAGAUGUGAAAGCCAGGGUAGCGAACGGGAUUAGAAACCCCAGUAGUCC